rnacentral:tRNA from 1 species
AUUAUUUUGGCAGAUUAGUGCAAUAAAUUUAGAAUUUAUUUAUGUAAUUAAUUUUAUUACAAAUAAUA